rnacentral:rRNA from 1 species
GACGAACGCUGGCGGCGUGCUUAACACAUGCAAGUCGAACGGAAAGGCCCUGCUUUUGUGGGGUGCUCGAGUUGCGAACGGGUGAGUAACACGUGAGUAACCUGCCCUUGACUUUGGGAUAACUUCAGGAAACUGGGGCUAAUACCGGAUAGGAGCUCCUGCUGCAUGGUGGGGGUUGGAAAGUUUCGGCGGUUGGGGAUGGACUCGCGGCUUAUCAGCUUGUUGGUGGGGUAGUGGCUUACCAAGGCUUUGACGGGUAGCCGGCCUGAGAGGGUGACCGGACACAUUGGGACUGAGAUACGGCCCAGACUACUCCGGGAGGCAGCAGUGGGGAAUAUUGCACAAUGGGCGGAAGCCUGAUGCAGCAAAGCCGCGUGCGGGAUGACGGCCUUCGGGUUGUAAACCGCUUUCGCCUGUGACGAAGCGUGAGUGACGGUAAUGGGUAAAGAAGCACCGGCUAACUACGUG